AUGAACGCUGGCGGCGUGCCCAAUACAUGCAAGUCGAGCGAACGGACGAGAAGCUUGCUUCUCUGAUGUUAGCGGCGGACGGGUGAGUAACACGUGGAUAACCUACCUAUAAGACUGGGAUAACUUCGGGAAACCGUAGCUAAUACCGGAUAAUAUUUUGAACCGCAUGGUUCAAAAGUGAAAGACGGUCUUGCUGUCACUUAUAGAUGGAUCCGCGCUGCAUUAGCUAGUUGGUAAGGUAACGGCUUACCAAGGCAACGAUGCAUAGCCGACCUGAGAGGGUGAUCGGCCACACUGGAACUGAGACACGGUCCAGACUCCUACGGGAGGCAGCAGUAGGGAAUCUUCCGCAAUGGGCGAAAGCCUGACGGAGCAGCGCCGCGUGAGUGAUGAAGGUCUUCGGAUCGUAAAACUCUGUUAUUAGGGAAGAACAUAUGUGUAAGUAACUGUGCACAUCUUGACGGUACCUAAUCAGAAAGCCACGGCUAACUACGUG
rnacentral:rRNA from 1 species